rnacentral:misc_RNA from 1 species
GAUGAAGAACGUAGCGAAAUGCGAUAAGUAGUGUGAAUUGCAGACUUUAGUGAAUCAUCGAAUCUUUGAACGCACAUUGCGCCCCUUGGUAUUCCAUUGGGCAUGCCUGUUCGAGCGUCAUUUACACCCUCAAGCUCACGCUUGGUGUUGGGCGUCUGUCCGCGCUUUCGAGCGUGGACUCGCCCCAAAUCCAUUGGCAGCGGCUCCGCCGGCUUUUCGCGCAGCACUUUGCGUCCAGGAAGGCUUUCGGCGAGCUUGCGUACAUCAAGACACCCCUCACUUUGACCUCGAAUCAGGUAGGGAUACCCGCUGAACUUAAGCAUAUCAAUAAGCGGAGGA